UACGUAGGGGGCAAGCGUUGUCCGGAAUCAUUGGGCGUAAAGGGCGCGUAGGUGGCCCGGUCAGUUCGUGGUGAAAGCGCGGGGCUCAACCCUGCGUCGGCCAUGAAUACUGCCGCGGCUGGAGCACUGUAGAGGCAGGCGGAAUUCCGGGUGUAGCGGUGGAAUGCGUAGAGAUCCGGAAGAACACCGGUGGCGAAGGCGGCCUGCUGGGCAGUUGCUGGACACUGAGGCGCGACAGCGUGGGGAGCAAACAGGG
rnacentral:rRNA from 1 species